rnacentral:rRNA from 1 species
UACGUAGGCGGAAAAUUAAGUCAGUAGUGAAAUCCUGCAGCUUAACUGUAGAACUGUUAUUGAUACUGGUUUUCUUGAAUAUAGUUGAGGUAGGCGGAAUGUGUAAUGUAGCGGUGAAAUGCUUAGAUAUUACACAGAACACCGAUUGCGAAGGCAGCUUACUAAGCUAUAAUUGACGCUGAGGUACGAAAGCGUGGGGAGCGAACAGGAUUAGAUACCCUGGUAGUCC